UACGUAGGGCGCAAGCGUUGUCCGGAAUUAUUGGGCGUAAAGAGCUCGUAGGCGGUCUGUCACGUCUGCUGUGAAAACCCGGGGCUUAACCCCGGGCUUGCAGUGGAUACGGGCAGACUAGAGGCAGGUAGGGGAGAAUGGAAUUCCCGGUGUAGCGGUGAAAUGCGCAGAUAUCGGGAGGAACACCGGUGGCGAAGGCGGUUCUCUGGGCCGUGACCUGACGCUGAGGAGCGAAGCGUG
rnacentral:rRNA from 1 species